rnacentral:rRNA from 1 species
AUGAACGCUGACAGAAUGCUUAACACAUGCCAGUCUUUGGCGAAGCUGUGCUUGCACAGCCUAGCCAAGGCGGACGGGUGAGUAACGCGUAAGGAACUUGCCCUGCAGUCAGGGAUAACAGACGGAAACGACUGAUAAGACCUGGUAAAGUCAGGCGGACUCAUGUCCAGCCUGAUGAAAAGAGAUGCUGCAGGAGAGCCUUGCGUCCUAUUAGCUUGUUGGUGGGGUAACGGCCCACCAAGGCGAUGAUAGGUAGCCGGCCUGAGAGGGUGGACGGCCACAAGGGGACUGAGAUACGGCCCUUACUCCUACGGGAGGCAGCAGUGGGGAAUAUUGGACAAUGGGGGCAACCCUGAUCCAGCAAUUCUGUGUGCACGAUGAAGGUUUUCGGAUUGUAAAGUGCUUUCAGCAGGGAAGAAAAAAUGACGGUACCUGCAGAAGAGGCGACGGCUAAAUACGUG